UUUAGUAGUCUAAAACACGAAACUGACCUGAUGAGUUAGGCUACAUAGUGCGCACUAUGUAGUUGACUUAAACGUGUAUAAAUAAAAGUUGAAACCUAGUUC
ncrna:unclassified sequences RAGATH-34 RNA